rnacentral:rRNA from 1 species
UACGUAGGGUGCUAGCGUUGUUCGGAAUCACUGGGCGUAAAGGGCGCGUAGGCGGCUUUGUAAGUCGGGGGUGAAAGCCUGUGGCUCAACCACAGAAUUGCCUUCGAUACUGCAUGGCUUGAGACCGGAAGAGGUAAGUGGAACUGCGAGUGUAGAGGUGAAAUUCGUAGAUAUUCGCAAGAACACCAGUGGCGAAGGCGGCUUACUGGUCCGGUUCUGACGCUGAGGCGCGAAAGCGUGGGGAGCAAACAGG